AUGGCUCAGGAUGAACGCUAGCUACAGGCUUAACACAUGCAAGUCGAGGGGCAGCAUAUUUUUAGCUGCUAAGAUGAUGGCGACCGGCGCACGGGUGAGUAACGCGUAUCCAACCUUCCCGCAAGUUAAGGGAUAACCCGUAGAAAUGCGGCCUAAUACCUUAUGCUUUCCUUAGAGGGCAUCUGAUGAGGAACAAAGAUCCGUCGCUUGCGGAUGGGGAUGCGUCUGAUUAGUUAGUCGGCGGGGUAACGGCCCACCGAGACGACGAUCAGUAGGGGUUCUGAGAGGAAAGUCCCCCACAUUGGAACUGAGACACGGUCCAAACUCCUACGGGAGGCAGCAGUGAGGAAUAUUGGUCAAUGGGCGGAAGCCUGAACCAGCCAAGUAGCGUGCAGGACGACGGCCCUAUGGGUUGUAAACUGCUUUUAUGCGGGGAUAAAGUGGGCCACGCGUGGCCUUUUGCAGGUACCGCAUGAAUAAGGACCGGCUAAUUCCGUG
rnacentral:rRNA from 1 species